ACGCACGCUGGCGGCAUGCCUCACCCAUGCAAGUCGCACGAGACCUUCGGGUCUAGUGGCGCACGGGUGCGUAACGCGUGGGAACCUGCCCUUAGGUUCGGAAUAACUCCCCGAAAGGGGUGCUAAUACCGGAUAAUGUCUUCGGACCAAAGAUUUAUCGCCUUUGGAUGGGCCCGCGUUGGAUUAGCUAGUUGGUAGGGUAAAAGCCUACCAAGGCGACGAUCCAUAGCUGGUCUGAGAGGAUGAUCAGCCACACUGGGACUGAGACACGGCCCAGACUCCUACGGGAGGCAGCAGUGGGGAAUAUUGGACAAUGGGCGAAAGCCUGAUCCAGCAAUGCCGCGUGAGUGAUGAAGGCCUUAGGGUUGUAAAGCUCUUUUACCCGGGAUGAUAAUGACAGUACCGGGAGAAUAAGCUCCGGCUAACUCCGU
rnacentral:rRNA from 1 species